ACCUGGUUGAUCCUGCCAGUAUCAUAUGCUUGUCUAAAUGAUUAAGCCAUGCACGUCUCAGUACAUGCCAACCUUUAUAGGGCCAAAACCGCAAAUGACUCAUUAAAUCAGUCACGGUUCAUUGGAUCGUGACGCGUUACUUGGAUAACUGUGGCAAUUCUACAACUAAUACAUGCAGCCGAGCUCCAACGCCCUGAUGGGAAGACGAGCGCUUUUAUUAGAUUCUACCCAGGCCUCUAUAGACCGAGAACAUGAACGAAACUAAUUAAUUUUGCUGAUCGCACAGGCCACUCCCGGAGACGUAUCUUUCAAGUGUCUGCCUUAUCAACUGUCGACGGUAGGUUUUGUGCCUACCAUGUUCACCACGGAUGGCGGGAAAACAGGGCUCGAUUCCGGAGAGAGAGCCUGAGAAACGGCUACCACAUCUAAGGAAGGCAGCAGACAAGCAAAUUACCCAAUCCUGGCUCGGGGAGGUAGUGACGAAAAAUAACGACGCUGGAUUCUUCCAGACCCAGUCGUUGGAAUGAGUACGCUCUCUAAGCCCUCUAACGAGGACUUACUGGAGGGCAAGACUAAUACCAGCCUUUGCGGUAAUUUUAGCUCCAGUGGCGUAUACUAAAAUUGUUGCAGUUAAAAAGCUCGUAGUUGGACAUCUGCUCUGUAUGUAAUGGGCCGCUCGCGCGGUCACCCAUUCACUCCCGGCAUUCUUGCCGCCGCCUCGGGAUUGAUUUAACCGGUCGGCUCCGAGUGGAUGGCAAUGAUCGCUUUGCAAAAAUUACAGUGCUCAAAGCAGGCACACACGCUCGAAUAGUAAUGCACGGAACAAUAAAACACGAUCUCGGCUUUGAGUUUGUUAGGUUGAUGGAGACCGAGGUAAUGAUUAAUAGGAGUAGACGGGGGCAUGCGUAUUCCGACGCUAAAGGGGAAAUUCUUGGACCGUCGGAAGACGACCCACUGCGAAAGCAUUUGCUGAAAGAUUAGAUACCUUUGUAGUUCUGAACCCCUAAACCAGG